rnacentral:sRNA from 1 species
AUCUACCUGCCUCGCCUCCCAAAGUGCUGGGAUUACAGGCAUGAGCUACUGUGCCGGGCCCAAAGCGGAUCUUUUAAGGAAGGGUGCUGAUGUAUGGACAGCCGUAUCGUGUUACCUUAGAGCUUGAGCUGCCAGAGUCCCCUGUGAAUCAAGAUUUGGGCAUGUUCUUGGUCACCAUUUCCUGCUACACCAGAGGUGGCCGAAUCAUCUCCACUUCUUCGCGUUCGGUGAUGCUGCAUUACCGCUCAGACCUGCUCCAGAUGCUGGACACACUGGUCUUCUCUAGCCUCCUGCUAUUUGGCUUUGCAGAGCAGAAGCAGCUGCUGGAGGUGGAACUCUACGCAGACUAUAGAGAGAACUCGUAUGUGCCGACCACUGGAGCGAUCAUUGAGAUCCACAGCAAGCGCAUCCAGCUGUAUGGAGCCUACCUCCGCAUCCACGCGCACUUCACUGGGCUCAGAUACCUGCUAUACAACUUCCCGAUGACCUG